rnacentral:rRNA from 1 species
CCAAUAGCGUAUAUUAAAGUUGUUGCAGUUAAAAAGCUCGUAGUUGAAUUUCGGGAUCAAUCUAUCGGUCGUGCAAUAGUACGUACUGAUUUUAUUGAUUCCUCCCUUCUGAUGAACUAUGAUGUCAUUAAUUUGGUGUCAUAGGGAAUCAGGACUGUUACUUUGAAAAAAUUAGAGUGUUUAAAGCAGGCUCACGCUUGAAUACAUUAGCAUGGAAUAACGGAAUAGGACGUUUGAUUCUAUUUUGUUGGUUUCUAGGAUCGACGUAAUGAUUAAUAGGGAUAGUUGGGGGCAUUAGUAUUCAAUUGUCAGAGGUGAAAUUCUUGGAUUUAUUGAAGACUAACUACUGCGAAAGCAUUUGCCAAGGAUGUUUUCAUUAAUCAAGAACGAAAGUUAGGGGAUCGAAGACGAUCAGAUACCGUCGUAGUCUUAACCAUAAACUAUGCCGACUAGGGAUCGGAUGAUGUUAAUUUUUUAAUGACUCA